rnacentral:lncRNA from 1 species
GGGAUCUGGAACUUUCGGACCACGCCCAGCUCGUAGUACAUCUGGAUGCCACAUUUGACCAGGUCCAGUUCGGUGCACUCCAGAUCCCCUGCCAAGCCUCAGACACCUCAGGCAUCUCUGAGGAGAUAUGUCAUUCCUGGCGCUCCAGGCUGUAUCCCAGGCUGCUCACAUGCCCCCCUGGCUCAGCCUCACUCUCCCCUCUUGUACCCUGUGGCCCAACAGUGAAGAACUUGCCCAGUUGGGUGGACAGGGUGAUGUUGUUGAAACAAGAAAACACAAAGGUGUGCACAUGAAAAGAAACACACACACACACACACGGAUACAGACACACGUGACACAGGCACACCUGGAUACACAGCCACUCCCAUGAAUACAAAGGCACCGGUGUGGACACACAGGCACACACAUGAGCACCCAGGCACACCCACAGACAUGCAGGCACACACGUGCAGACUCACGCAUGUAGGCUCACACACACAGCCAUGAGGUAACACACACAACAGUGGACUUUCAGACCCACCAGGCACAUUCCCAUGCUCAGUCCAAGGCCUACUCACAAGGCUCGUGGGCCCGGGAGAUUCU